rnacentral:rRNA from 1 species
CCUACGGGUGGCAGCAGUGAGGCAUAUUGGUCAAUGGCCGUCAGUCUGAACCAGCCAUGCCGCGUGAAGGAAGAAGGAUCUAUGAUUUGUAAACUUCUUUUGUAGGGGAGUAAAUGUAUCUACGUGUGUAUGUUUGCAUGUAUCCUAUGAAUAAGGAUCGGCUAACUACGUGCCAGCAGCCGCGGUAAUACGGAGGAUGCGAGCGUUAUCCGGAUUUAUUGGGUUUAAAGGGUGCGUAGGAUGUUUUGUAAGUCAGCGGUGAAAGUUUGGGGCUCAACCACAGAAUUGCCGGUGAUACUGGAGGACUAGAGUUUAGUUGAGGUAGGCGGAAUGCGUGGUGUAGCGGUGAAAUGCAUAGAGAUCACGCAGAACACCGAUGGCGAAGGCAGCUUACUAAGCCACAACUGACGCUGAGGCACGAAAGCGUGGGGAGCAAACAGGAUUAGAUACCCCAGUAGUC